rnacentral:rRNA from 1 species
UGGGGAAUAUUGGACAAUGGGCGAAAGCCUGAUCCAGCCAUGCCGCGUGAGUGAUGAAGGCCUUAGGGUUGUAAAGCUCUUUUAGCAGGGAAGAUAAUGACGGUACCUGCAGAAAAAGCCCCGGCUAACUUCGUGCCAGCAGCCGCGGUAAUACGAAGGGGGCUAGCGUUGCUCGGAAUUACUGGGCGUAAAGCGCACGUAGGCGGACUCUUAAGUCGGUGGUGAAAUCCUGGAGCUCAACUCCAGAACUGCCUUCGAUACUGGGAGUCUUGAGUUCGGGAGAGGUGAGUGGAACUGCGAGUGUAGAGGUGAAGUUCGUAGAUAUUCGCAAGAACACCAGUGGCGAAGGCGGCUCACUGGCCCGAUACUGACGCUGAGGUGCGAAAGCGUGGGGAGCAAACA